UGGUAAUGCCGGAUGCUCCAGUUGAUCGCAUGGUCUUCUGGGAAAGCUUUCGCGGUAUGGGAUGGGGUCGCGUCCUAUCAGCUUGACGGCGGGGUAACGGCCCACCGUGGCUUCGACGGGUAGCCGGCCUGAGAGGGCGACCGGCCACAUUGGGACUGAGAUACGGCCCAGACUCCUACGGGAGGCAGCAGUGGGGAAUAUUGCACAAUGGGCGCAAGCCUGAUGCAGCGACGCCGCGUGAGGGAUGGAGGCCUUCGGGUUGUAAACCUCUUUUAUCGGGGAGCAAGCGWGAGUGAGUUUACCCGUUGAAUAAGCACCGGCUAACUACGUGCCAGCAGCCGCGGUAAUACGUAGGGUGCAAGCGUUAUCCGGAAUUAUUGGGCGUAAAGGGCUCGUAGGCGGUUCGUCGCGUCCGGUGUGAAAGUCCAUCGCUUAACGGUGGAUCCGCGCCGGGUACGGGCGGGCUUGAGUGCGGUAGGGGAGACUGGAAUUCCCGGUGUAACGGUGGAAUGUGUAGAUAUCGGAAAGAACACCA
rnacentral:rRNA from 1 species